rnacentral:tRNA from 1 species
GCCUGGGUGGUGAAAUUGGCAGACACGCUAGCUUCAGGAGCUAGUGCCAGCAAUGGCUUGCGAGUUCGAGUCUCGCCCCAGGCACCA